UACGUAGGGGGCGAGCGUUAUCCGGAUUUACUGGGUGUAAAGGGAGCGUAGACGGUUCUGCAAGUCUGAAGUGAAAGCCCGUGGCUUAACCGCGGAACGGCUUUGGAAACUGUGGAACUGGAGUGCUGGAGAGGCAAGCGGAAUUCCUAGUGUAGCGGUGAAAUGCGUAGAUAUUAGGAGGAACACCAGUGGCGAAGGCAGCUUGCUGGACAGUAACUGACGUUGAGGCUCGAAAGCGUGGGGAGCAAACAGG
rnacentral:rRNA from 1 species